UAAUACGGAGGGAGCUAGCGUUGUUCGGAAUUACUGGGCGUAAAGCGUACGUAGGCGGUUACUCAAGUCAGAGGUGAAAGCCCGGGGCUCAACCCCGGAACUGCCUUUGAAACUAGGUAGCUAGAAUCUUGGAGAGGUCAGUGGAAUUCCGAGUGUAGAGGUGAAAUUCGUAGAUAUUCGGAAGAACACCAGUGGCGAAGGCGACUGACUGGACAAGUAUUGACGCUGAGGUACGAAAGCGUGGGGAGCAAACAGGAUUAGAUACCCCUGGUAGUCCACGCCGUAAACGAUGAUAACUAGCUGUCCGGGCACUUGGUGCUUGGGUGGCGCAGCUAACGCAUUAAGUUAUCCGCCUGGGGAGUACGGUCGCAAGAUUAAAACUCAAAGGAAUUGACGGGGGCCUGCACAAGCGGUGGAGCAUGUGGUUUAAUUCGAAGCAACGCGCAGAACCCUUACCAGCGUUUGACAUCCUCAUCGCGAUUU
rnacentral:rRNA from 1 species